rnacentral:lncRNA from 1 species
CACACUGGUGUGUGUGCUUGGAUCGAACAGAAGGCAGGGGCGACCAGGGGUUUAUUUCAAACCCUAGUUUUCACAUAAAAUCCCUAAAUUGAAGCCUCAAAUCUGCCCUAAAUCAAGUCUUGAACAUAAAUUAGUGAUCACCUCAUUGUAGGGAUCAAAAGGUAAAGAAUUUGGGUCGUCAAGUGGACAAGCCGGGGGUGAUACACGCUUAAAGGGUGUGCUUUGAAGGUACUGCUCGUUGUCAUGGAUGUUGAUCAAGCAAGGGGAUUCAAGAACCGAACAUAUAUUUUGAAUGCUUCCGCGUUAAUCUAAUCUAGCUAGACUUAGAUGUUGUUUUGAAACUUUGUUAAACGUCAUGUUUUUAAACAAGUUAGUAUGUUAUGUUUACUUAUUAACUUAUUUUUGCUAAAUUUAUGCAUUUAAUUUGUAAAAUAAGUGUAUUUCCAUGAUGAAAUAAUGAGUUUAUAUAACAAGUGUUACAGCAGUGGUGGUGUGAUAGGCGGUGGUUGUCACACCCCGGUCGCGUUAAAACAACAAAACCGUGGCUGAAACGCCGGGGAGUGAAUGCGACAGAAUUAUUGUUUCAACAACCAUGUUCAAACUUAG